rnacentral:rRNA from 1 species
UACGGAGGAUCCAAGCGUUAUCCGGAUUUAUUGGGUUUAAAGGGUGCGUAGGCGGGGAUUUAAGUCAGUGGUGAAAGUUUGCAGCUCAACUGUAAAAUUGCCAUUGAAACUGAAUUUCUUGAGUGUAAAUGAGGUAGGCGGAAUGUGUUGUGUAGCGGUGAAAUGCUUAGAUAUAACACAGAACACCAAUUGCGAAGGCAGCUUACUGGGAUACAACUGACGCUGAGGCACGAAAGCGUGGGGAUCAAACAGGAUUAGAUACCCUGGUAGUCCACGCAGUAAACGAUGAAUACUAACUGUAUGCGAUAUACUGUAUGCGGUACAGCGAAAGCGUUAAGUAUUCCACCUGGGGAGUACGUUCGCAAGAAUGAAACUCAAAGGAAUUGACGGGGGCCCGCACAAGCGGAGGAACAUGUGGUUUAAUUCGAUGAUACGCGAGGAACCUUGCCCGGGCUUGAAAUGCAGAAGACGAAUCAUGAAAGUGGUUUUCCAGCAAUGGCUUCUGUGUAGGUGCUGCAUGGUUGUCGUCAGCUCGUGCCGUGAGGUGUCGGCUUAAGUGCCAUAACGAGCGCAACCCUUAUCAUUAGUUGCCAGCGGGUUAAGCCGGGAACUCUAAUGAGACUGCCACCGUAAGGUGUGAGGAAGGUGGGGAUGACGUCAAAUCAGCACGGCCCUUACGUCCGGGGCGACACACGUGUUACAAUGGGGGGUACAGAGGGCAGCUACCACGCGAGUGGAUGCGAAUCUCAUAAAGCCUCUCUCAGUUCGGAUCGGAGUCUGCAACUCGACUCCGUGAAGCUGGAUUCGCUAGUAAUCGCGCAUCAGCCAUGGCGCGGUGAAUACGUUCCCGGGCCU